GCUCUGUCGAGGAGUUCCACAAUAGGACGAAACGGCCGUCCAGUGC
rfam:Schistosoma curassoni strain Dakar, Senegal genome assembly, scaffold: SCTD_contig0002732